rnacentral:rRNA from 1 species
GACGAACGCUGGCGGCGUGCUUAACACAUGCAAGUCGAACGAAGUGGCGAACGGGUGAGUAACGCGUAAUCAACCUGCCCUUCAGAGGGGGACAACAGUUGGAAACGACUGCUAAUACCGCAUACGGAAGGAGGGGAUUGCGUCUGAGUGGCUAGUUGGAGGGGUAACGGCCCACCAAGGCGAUGAUCAGUAGCCGGUGUGAGAGGAUGAACGGCAACCGUGGGACUUAGACACGGCCCAGACUCCUACGGGAGGCAGCAGUGGGGAGGCUUCCGCAAUGGACGAAAGUCUGACGGAGCAACGCCGCGUGAGUGAUGACGGCCUUCGGGUUGUAAAGCGCUGUUAAUCGGGACGCGGUACCGGAAUAGAAAGCCACGGCUAACUACGUGCCAGCAGCCGCGGUAAUAC